rnacentral:sRNA from 1 species
UAAUGAUAAAAGAAAAGAGAUAGUGCUACCAACACCAUCUCCUGUGGAAACCGUUAAAGACGGUGACUUUUAGACAGUUUAUUAAAUA